rnacentral:lncRNA from 1 species
GUAGUGGUUAGGGCAUCGGACUUCUAACACAAAGGUUCCUGGGUCGAUUCCCGUUCCGGGAUGAAAAUUUCAGGCACUGAAUUUUCGACUCUCCCUUGACACCAUUUGCGAGUAUGGUCUUGAGGAAACGAUAAUAGUCCGUCGGAAGGGGAUGAUGGCUGACUCGUGGUAAGAGAGAGCCAUAUCUCUUGCAUGUUAAAGACACCCUUGUAGAUUUCGAAAAAGAGCAGGCUAAUGCCGCUACAAGGCAGACUGCACCCGCAAAGUGGAAAGGGAUUAAUAUAAGUUGCAAAAAAUAGUUUCCCAAUCCACUAUAAAUAAAUAUGUUUAAAACUAAACAAGC